rnacentral:lncRNA from 1 species
GAUGUGCAGGGUCUCCAUUGGCAGCCAAGGCACUAGGAUCUGUACUACGUGGCAAGACAACAGAAGAAUGGAAGGCUGUGCUUAGCAAAAGCAUCGCCCAUAACAAGGACGAUCAAAUCCUGCCUAUUCUCAAGCUCAGUUACGAUGACCUGCCAUCACACAUGAAGCAGUGCUUUGCUUUCUGUGCUGUGUUUCCCAAAGACCAUGAGAUUGACGUGGAAAUGCUGAUCCAACUAUGGAUGGCAAAUGACUUUAUUCCCGAACAAAAAGAUGUUGGUAAACAGAUUUUCAGUGAGCUGGUCUCAAGGUCAUUCUUCAAGAUGUGAAGCAAGUCAAAGGGGACACAAGAAUUAAUUCCGUGUAUUGGUAUUUCUCUACAAGUAAAUGUAAAAUCCAUGAUCUUAUGCACGAUGUGGCACUAUCUGUCAUGGGCAAAGAAGUUGCUACCAUGACUGAGAAGCCAAAGCAGAGUGAUGAGUUUCUUCAGAACACUUGUCGUCAUAUAUUGUUAUUAUGUGGCAUGCCAGAGGCCGUUUUGAAUGAUUCUCUGAAUAUAGGGUCUCCAGCUAUGCAAACACUACUAUGUUAUCAGCACAUAGAAGGUUCCCUGCAGCAUCUCGCAAAAUACAGCUCUCUGCGUGCAUUGAGACUUUGGCAGAAUAAGAGCACAAUCCUACUGAAACCAAACCAGCUACAUCUCUUGAGGUAUCUUGAUAUCUCGCGUAGUGCUAUAGUGUCACUUCCGGAAGAUAUCAACAUUUUGUACAAUCUGCAAACACUGAAUGUUGCGUACUGUCCCAAACUUGGCCGGCUUCCAAAGGGAAUAAAGUACAUGACUGCCCUCCGUCACCUCUACACUCACGGAUGUGGGAAGUUGAAGCGCAUGCCACCGGAGGUUGGACAUCUCACUUCCCUGCAAACACUUACAAAUUUUGUAGUGGGUACAGGCCAUGAUUGCAGUAGUAUUGCAGAGCUGCAGCAUUUAAACAACCUUGGUGGUCCACUACUGCUUAGUCAACUCGAAAAUGUGACAAAUGCAGCAGAUGCAAAACAGGCCAAUCUUGGAAAUAAAAAGGAGCUCAGGGAAUUGUCAUUAAGGUGGACCUGGACAAGUAGUGAGGAGGAGAAACAACAUUGUCAUAAGGUGCUGGAGGGUCUCGAAGCUCCUCCUGGACUAGAGGCUCUGAGGAUAGAUCAUUACCACGGAACCAGUUUCCCAACGUGGAUGGGUACGCUGACAAAAAUGGUGGAGCUUCAUCUUUCUGACUGUAACAAGUCCAAUAAGCUUCCUCCACUUGGGAGUGUACCAGCUCUACAAGUUCUUCGUCUGGAAAGAUUGAAAAAACUGGAAAGCUUGUGCAGUGGUGGUACAUUCUUUCACUUUCCUAAUCUGAAGGAGCUUAGGCUGGACGAACUGCCGGAAUUUGAUAGAUGGUGUGAAGUAAACUGGGUCCAAGGAGAACAGAUAAUGUUUCCUCAACUUGAGAAGUUGUUUAUUACAAAUUGUGGAAAGGUUACAGCAUUACCAGGGCCAGCACUUCUCGGAGGAUCGUGCUGUGGAGAUUACAAGGAGCAAGACGAGUGGAAGCUUUGGUCGGCAUUUCCAGUCCUGAAGGUACUCGAAUUAAAAUGGUUAGCAAAGUUUCAGAGGUGGGGGGGCGCUGCUGAAGCAACUCAAGGGCUGCAGAUAAUAUUUCCUCAGCUUGAAGGGUUAUCAAUCGAAACGUGCCCCGAACUGGCAGCAUUACCAUCAGCAUUACCAUCAUUUGACCAUAGUGAUGUUACAGCAUGGUCAGCAUUUCCAAACUUAAAGAGGCUCCGGUUACGUUACUUAGAUAGUUUUAAGAGCUUGGGGAUGACGGAAGAGCAGAGAUUCCCUGACCUUGAGACUCUGUGUGUUGAGAAAUGUCCCAAGUUGACAACUCUACCGGGGGUGAUAGAAGCACCAAAGCUCGGUGUAUUACAAAUAAAUGGCAGCCAACUGAUAGCAAUAAUGGUGCCUACAAUUAUUAACUCAUUGUCCGAACUGGCGUUAUCAAUCCAAGACACAGAAACUACUUUACCAACUGUGCAUAGGGCCUUUGAGCUGGUGGACGCCAGUAAUAAAUCCCCUCUGACACGUCUGCAGCUAAGAGGCUGCAACUUUCUGUUCCCCUCAAGUCCACUGGCACUAUGGACAUGUUUUGUCCAGCUCCAACAUUUGGCAAUUUGGAACCAUGCUCUUGUCUACUGGCCGGAAAAAGAGUUCCAGAGCUUGGUAUCCUUGAGGCUCCUUUCCAUUGACAAGUGCAGUGGUCUGAUUGGGUACGCGAAAGCUGCUCCUGGCCAACCAAUAUCAGAAAGGAGCCGCCAAGUUCUGCCCCGUCUCGUGUCUCUAUACAUAGAGGAUUGUGAAAGUCUGGUAGAGGUCUUCAACGUCCCCGCAUCUCUCAAGAUGAUGGAUUUGCGCGGCUGCCCUAAGCUUAAGUCCACAUUCGGAGAGCAACAGGACGAGCCAACAUUAAAUCAAGGGCCCAGCGCUGCACCGAAGCUGUCAUCAUCGGCCCGGGACGUUCCAUGUCUUGAAUAUCUAAGAAUAUUGCGGUGCGAAAGCUUGUCAGAGGUUCUCAACCUUCCCCCAUCCCUCAGGGAAAUACUUAUUCGUGAGUGUGGCAAACUCCAACUCCUAUCAGGCCAGCUGGAUGGACUUCAAAGACUAGAUAUUUGGGUAUGCCCAGAGUUGAGAUCACUGGAAUCUUGCUUGGGAGAGUUUUCAACCCUGGAACGCCUCAGUCUGAUGGAUUGCAAAAGCCUGGCAUCCUUGCCCGAUGGGCCACAAGCAUACUCAUCUCUCCGUGAUCUUCGAAUUACAUCAUGUCCAUGUAUACAGUCGCUUCCUUCAUCCCUGAAGAAGAGACUGGACAACAUCCCUGAAGAAGAUAAAGAUUUGGAUGCUCGUUACGAAGGUACCCACCAAACUCAUUUGUCGUUUCACCAUAGUUUGAAUGCAUAAAUCUGCUCAUGCUUUCUAGAAAUAUAUAUACCAGUCGCCUUAAAGCAUCCAUGCAGUAGUUUGAAUGAUAUGGUGUGAUUAUUUUUACAUUAGAGAAAGGUGCAGCACACGACCACAGAAUUUUGGUGCCUUGGUAUAAUCAUGUCGAGUUGUAUUACUUAAUUAUCCAUUUUGAAUUUCUGAAUAGAUAUGACUACUAAAGAAGCUGCUUAACGAGAAUGAUAUGUAAGGCAAAAUAGAGUAUCUUUGGUCCUCCACUUCUGUCUUCAGUUCAUCUUUAUUAUGUGAACUGCUACUAGUAUUUGCGUCUAUAGACUAUAGCUAGGUGUGAACUGUGCCCAGAAAUUAUUGACAAGGAAUAGUGGAAAGAACUCAGCAAUCACUAAAAAAGCAUGAAGAGUGUCCCACAAAGUUACUUUUUCAUGCAGUUGUCAUGGUAGAUUGCUGGUUUCAGCACUUGCACAAUACGAAAUUUAAAAAAUCCAAGGGAUCCCUCCACACUUGGACAACUAAGAACACGACUAUAGAUUGUUUUCAAUUUGCAUUGAACUGAUAUUUUUCUAUUUCCCUAAUGUUACACCCCAAAUAGAGAUGCCAUGUUGCCAAUGCAACGAAGGUUUUUACUUGUCAAUUUAAUUGAAUUUUGCUGUCUAAAGGACAAAAUGUGGACUAAAUAAAAGGUCCCAGGAGCCUACUGUGUGGUACCUUUGUUUUAAUUGUUUUUGCUAACUUCACGCCUUUGGGUGCACAAAAAUGUACUAUUUCUGUUUUUGUUUCAGAAAGAACUGGAAUUUUUCUCUUUGGAAUUCGGUAGUUGUAACUCGAAUCUGCUUGACGUACACGUUUUUCAUGUUAUACUAUUGAUAAAUUCUAACAUCAGCGAUUACCAGGUGCCAAGUUAUUGAAACCAAAGACAUGGAAAUAUGCCAUUCAUUCGUAGAAAUCAGUGAGCUGUCAAAACAUGAAGUACCAGGUUAGUAGCAUAAAAAGUUUGGGUUUUUAUUAGAAUCAUUUCAAUUAAUCUAGUGUUGAUUCCAUAUCCUGUCUAUUGUAGGGACAUGUUUGCCUCAUUUACUGUCAGCAUCCAAACCAUAAUAUGGAAAUGCUAUUUUCCUUCUAUGUUGAUCGUUGAUCAAGGUCUGAGUUACCAUACAGGCUCUGAUGCAAGUUGUUAAAGGCAGUAUAAAUUCUAUACCAGACAUUUAUUUAUAUUUGAUAACCAUGAGAGAUAUAUUACUAUUUUAUUUUUGCAUCAAAUGAAUGUGGAGGCUGGGAUAUUAAUACUUUCUCCCAUUAAUACAGCUACAUCAUGGCAGUUAUCUCCCUGUGAUUGGAAGAGAGUUCUGCAUUUUGCAUACCAACUGCAACUAUGAUGUUUAUAACUGAGCUUGGAGAGAUAUUAUGCCAUUUCUGUGACCAUUCUCUUCUAUUAUGUCCAUUUCACAUAUUGAAAACAAAAUUUUCCCUUAAGUGACUAUUCUAUUGAAUUGAUAUUUUCCUUUUUCAGAUAAUACUGAUAUUUUUAACUUGCUUUACUUUCCCUUAACAUGAUUGGAAGUUGAAGACCAUGCCUAAAUUUUUCAAAUGUGCCUUCCUUUUAGUGCAUUACUUCUUCGGUGACCAAUUAGCGUUUUGACUAAUUGCUACUGAUCAAUUGUUCAUACAUGCCAAAGGACCAAUAACUUCAUGGUGCAGCCAAUUAAAUUGUUACUGAUUUCAUGCUAUCAACAUGCAAAAAGAUAGUCAGUUGACACCUAGCCACAAUCAAACAAUAACCUAGUAGUUUGAAAUGAUUAUCGCAAUUGCCAUGCUUUGUGCAGAGAAGAUGACUCUUCGAGGUUAAGUAAGAUUCUACGAAUACAUGGCAAGUUUCACGAUGCAGGCAAUGAAUUAUUAAAAGCUGGUGGCAUAAUAGUGCACACGAAUACAUACUUGUAUGCGCAUUGCAAUAUUGGAAAAUGUACCAAAGUGCAGUCACUGCCUUCUUCCCACAAACAAACAGCACUCGAUAAACACAUAAAGUCAUUUGCUCAUGACUUGCCGGUGAGCCACUAAGGCUCCAAGGUGCCGGCACACCUUGUAUAAAGGUGGUUCACUCUAGAACCUGAUCAUAAGGUAGGCACACCUUGCACUCUCUCUUCUCUAGGUCUAUUCUAGCACUAAUCAUUUUGCUAAGCUUGUGCUAAACCUUUGAUGGAUUACAUAAACACUUUUGGGUGUCUUGGAUGUGUUCUUGAUGUGUCUUACUCUUCAAUGGACUCCUACACACUUCAACUUCAUCCAGCAACUCCAAAUGGUCAAGUGGAGAGGGUAUAAAUAGCCCAAGAGCUUAAAGAACCGUUGCUUGAAUGGGUAGUUAAAGUAUACCAUCGGAUGUUCCGAUGGUCUAUUUUUUGGUAGCAUCGGAACAUUCGGUGCAACUAGCCAUUGGCUCCCCUGCGUCCAACUUCUUCAAGAAUUCAUUCGACGCUCCAUCCGAUGCCCCCAUCGUAUCAUCCAGUGCUGAUAGUUUUCUGACCAAAAUCUCUCUGAAACUAGCCAUUGGCUCCCCUGCGCCCAACUAAAUAUGUUUCGUUCGAGGGUCACCUCCAUAGGGCAUCAGAACAUCUGGUGCUAUAGGUCAAUUUCUGCCUUUCCUGAGAAUUGAUCCGACGCUACUAAAUUUUCCAUCGUCGGAUCAUCCGGUGCUUCCUGGAACUCAAGUUGAUUUCCCCGUUGGACCAAUUGCUCCGAUACUUACUCCGAUGGGCCAUGGCUUGGUCACUUGAAUACCAUAGCUUGGAUACUUGAAUAUCAUGAUUUGGAUCUUGCCAUGGUUUGGUUUGCAUACUUGAAUACCAUGAUUUGAACCUUGCCCAUGGUUUGGUUUGCAUACUUGGGACCUAGAAAACCUACAAAGCAUAUACUUGACAAACUAUUAGUCCCAAUAAUUAUAUUGUCACUCAAUCACCAAAAUCACAAACUACGAACUAAUGGGGCCAUGUUCGCUACAAGGUGCAUGGUAGAGUGCUUGGAACUUGGGCGGUGAGGCCAGGCGGCGGUGGUGCCGCCGGCCGGGAGGUGGAGGAGGCCAGUUGGGCGGUGCUUGGGCGAGGGCUUGACGACGACAUGGUGGGGGAGGGAGGUGGCGGCGGCUGCGGCAGGGAGGUGGUUGCCGAGGGCAGGUAGGGUCUCGCCGAAGCCCGACACCGGCAGCUACCACGCCCUCGGUUGGGGUGGUGGUCCAUCUGGGCGGCGGCGGGGUGGCCUGGCUAUUGGGAAGAAAGGUGCUGAACUGAGGAAGAAGAUGAAGGAUUCCUCAGAAGAUGAAGGAUGUCCGUUCAAUGCUCAUCCAACGUCGCAGAAAUUCGUGUGUCAGAAAACGAUAGAAUACUCGGGUGGGCAGUAGGCACUCACUUCUAAAAAGCCAAAACAAUAUAUAAUUUGUAACGGAGGAAGUAUUAAAUAUGAAAAUUAUGAUUUACUCCCAAAAACUGAUGAAUUAACUGAAGGUGUAUAAACUCUUCAAUUCACAAAGUGCAUUUAAUCUGUAUUGAACACUUCUCUUAGUAAGUUUUCUCAGCAAUAACCUGAAGAUCUUUUUUACUUAUGGGUUUACCUAUGCACUCUUUUCCCUUAAUUGAAAAUCUGGUGAUAGUAAAACAUGUUAAAAAGUUAUCCAUUAAUUUAAUUUUUGUGAAAGGGCUGUCUUAGGAAAUAGCCAGUGGAAACAUCAGAUUAGAAAGAAACAGGUUAUGCUUCAUAAGGUGUCUUCCAUGUUUCAUAUCUCAUCUUUUUCAUGCAUUACUUAUAAUGUUUGGUGAAUUUUUAUUUGCUGACUUUUGUUUACUGAUCAUGUGCAAUAUGUAAAGAUCACGGUCAAUUGGUUCUAAAAAUCAUGUGGAGAUACACAUUCGGUUGGCAAAAACAGAGAACCACUGUUUAGUUUCAUGUUGUCAUUGAUGCAUAUCUCCAUAAGUAUUCAUGUGGAAGAGCAGACUGCCCCUGAAGGCUGAAGCUAAAAGUAUUCAUGUGGCUGGCCUGGCAAGAUAGACUGCAAACAGGGGUGGCUUUGAAGAGAGGACGAAAUUGAAUGGAAGGGAAUGUCAAUUGUGCAGCAUACAAAAAUUUGUCUGGAAAUGCUUCAGUGACGCCCUGUGGUGGGGAGGAGUCCCAGCAAGUAUGCUUCAUUUCUUUCCGCAGAAGUGGCGGGUGCUGCUGCUGGGGGAUGGUGAUGGCGCCUAGUGAAAGGCUGGAUGGAGGCCUUCAUGGAGAAGCUCAAGACCUCUUGUAGAAAACACCCAGGGGAAGCUGGAAAAAAAACAUUUCUUCACAAUUUCUAGUCUUUUGAGGUCCUUGCAAAGCUGUACUUUCAGUUCCUGCACCCUAGUUUCUUAAUUAACACAGUCGAGCUGGUAACCUGUUAUGGUCGGCAAAGUGUACCAACAUCGCAGGGCGAGCCGUGGCUAGACGAGGCCGUGGUAGGCGAGCGGCUUGCGGUGUGUCAGUUAGGAGAGUCUGAAGGUUUAGGAGUAUUGUUUCCUUUUAUUGUUAUCCCUUAAUGGUAGUUAAGAUUUGUUAGAAUCAGAUGGGUGUACAAGUAUUGAACUCUUUCAGUUAAUAGAAAUCAGCCAGAGAUUGAGUUAUCUCUCCCGCUCCCUGGUAACUCCCCUUGCGCACGCCUGUUCCCCGACGCCGGCCAUCCAGGACAGCGUUGCAACCUUGCCGCUGCCGGGAUCCCAAACCCCGGCCGCCCAUGCAGCACGACUACUUCCUUCGCAGCGCUAGCGGUUCCAACAAUCUAGUUUCAGUGAUGUCCAGUUCGAUGCCUGGAGCUCCGACUUCCGCCGCCACUGCAAUCACCACAACCGCCAGCUUACCCACCACCACCACCGCGCCAGUUUCCCUUCCUCCCUCCACGGCCGUGCCAAUUGCGGCCAUCGACACACUGACCACAGCCAUCUACGGUCUCCAGUGUCAGAUGGGCCAAUUCGCGACGCAGCUGGCCGAUGUCGAGGGGCGCGCGUCCCCGCACUCAGGCGGAUCGUCACAACUGCAGGCUUUGUCACCUUACGGCCUCCCCAGCUACGAAGGGCUACCUGCCGCGACAUCAACGGGAUCUGUCAUCGUCCACACGACGGCUCCCGGCCUGCCAAUCACCAUGAUCCCGUUUCCACACUCGCCAUCACCGAUUCCACAAGCUGUCUUUCCCCACCUACGACGGCAAAGAAGAUCCGCUGAGCUGGCUCAACAAGUGCACGCACUUUUUUCAGGCUCAGCGCAUCCGCGAGGCCGACAAGGUGUGGCUUGCCUCAUUCCACAUGACCGGCAUCACCCAACACUGGUACUACAUGCUGGAGCGCAACGUCAGCGACAUCAACGCCAUCUCUUGGCCGCGGUUCUCGUCGCUAUGCCAGCAACAUUUUGGGCCAGCUCUCGGCACAAACCACCUCACAGAACUAGCUCGCCUGCCAUUUCGCAGGUCGGUUGACGAGUACUAGGUGGCAUUCCAAGCCAAGAUGGUGCACGCAGGCUGCCUAUCACCGCAGCAGCAGGUCCAGCUCUUCACUGGGGCCUGACUACAUCCGUGUUGAUGUCGAACUGCAGGCUCCACAAGAUCUUCAGCACGCCAUGAUGUUGGCCUUCACCUAUAAACGUCGCGCGGCGGCAGAGCCGCGCCCUGCGUGCCCCCAGAGUCGACAGCAGCCAUAUCCGGGGGCGGCCGUCGCACCGUCCAUGAUGCCCACGGUGACACUGUCUCCGUCGACGCCACCUACGCCGUCUGCGACGGUCCCAGCCUGCACUGGCCGCUCCACCACGGCCAUUCCGUCACCUCACGCCGCAGGAGAUGGCAGAAUGGCGCCGGCCUCUGCUACAACUGCGAUGAGCAAUAGGUACGCGGUCACAAAUGCCCGCGCCUCUUCUACUUGGAGGUCUCAGACUUCGUGGAGGAUGACGCCGUGCCAGCUACGGAGGAAACCCCACAGAUAUCCCUCCAUGCGAUCACCGGCCUCCGCACUAAGGACACGAUGCAGCUACACGUUCAGCUGAGCGAUCAAGAGUUCACGGCCCUUCUUGACUCGGAAUCGACACAUAACUUCAUCAGCGCUUCCGCGGCGCAGCACGUGAAUCUUCGGUUCCACGACAGCUGCGGUGCCCAUGUUGUGGUGACCAACGGCGAUAGAGUGGUGUGUCGUGGUCUUGCCCGCGAUGUCUAUGCGGUACGGCAUUACAUAUACCCGCAGCUACAAAAGGAUGAAUUGGAGGCACAGUGCGAAUCUAUGCUCCGCCAGGGCGUCAUUCGACCCAUCACAUCUCCUUUCUCAGCUCCAGUGUUGCUCGUCAAGAAGCCAGACGGCUCCUGGCAUUUUUGUGUCGAUUACAGGACGUUAAAUACGUGGUUGACCACGGUAAAAGAUAAAUUUCCCAUACCUGUCGUGGAGGAGCUCCUAGAUGAUGCCAUUCGGCCUGUCCAUCGCGCCGUCAACUUUCCAAGUGCUGAUGAAUCUCGUGCUCAAGCCGUUCCUACACCGGUGUGUCCUCAUCUUCUUCGACGAUAUCCUCAUCUACAGCAUGUUGUGGAGUCAGCAUCUGCAACACCUUCGCGCCGUACUUGACGUGCUGCGCGCCAACCAGCUGCACCUCAAGAGAUCCAAAUGCCUGUUCGCCGCAUCGUCAGUUCAGUACCUGGGCCACGUCAUUUCAGCAGCUGGCAUUGCCAUGGAUGCAGCCAAGGUGGCGGCAGUGGAAUCAUGGCCACAGAAGCGCUCCGCCCGUGGCCUGCGUGGGUUUCUCAAAUUGGCCGGGUAUUACAGGCGCUUCAUCCAGAACUUCAGCACCAUUGCGGGACCCCUGACGACACUGCUCAAGAAACGGUGGACUGAGGCAGCCACCGAGGCUUUCACGGCCCUCAAAAAGGCCCUGUCCGUAGCCCUCGUCUUGCACCUGCCUGAUUUUGGAAGGGAAUUUAUUUGGGGUUCGGUGCCAUACUACAUCAGGUGAGGGCCUUUUGCCGCGCGACAUCUGAAGAUUGCCGCGUAUGAGCGCAAACUAAUUGGUCUUGUCAAAGGCAGUUCGCCACUGGAGACCCUAUCUCUGGAGCCGUUCGUUCGUCAUGCGCACCGACCAUUGUGCGCUCAAGUUCAUGUUGGAUCAGCACCUGUCCACCGUUCCGCAGCACUAGUGGAUCAGCAAAUUAUUUGGCUUUGAUUUCAGGGUGGAAUAUUGUUUGGGCAACCUCAACAGAGUCGCGGAUGCACUAUCACGCCGUACUGAGUUGGAACCGACCCUGGCGGGUCUGUCGGUGCCGUCCUUCCAGCUCUUCGAUGAGCUGCGCCGCGAGCUUCGCCCUACGGGAUCUUCGCGACGCCGUCACCGUAGGUGAUCGCGGGGAUGCUUGGUGCAUCACGGACGGACUGGUUCUCCGCGACGGCUGCGUGUUCGUGCUGAGUAUCUCGUCAACGCUCCACGACGUCCUCCAGCUUGCCCAUACGGCCGGCCAUGAAGGCGUACAGAAGACUUUUGACCGGCUGCAUGCCACUUUCUACGUCAAGCACGACCGGCAACUCGUUCGCGACUUUUUCCACUACUGCACAACCUGUCAGUGGAACAAGUCUGAAGCGCUGCACCCUGCCGGUCUUCUAGAGCCCCUGUUGGUGCCAUCCCGUGUGUGGGCCGACAUCUCUAUGGACUUUGUCGAGGCACUCCCCAAGGUACACAGCAAGAGCGUCAUUCUAACAGUGGUUGACAGGUUCUCUAAAUACGCCCAUUUCAUACCACUGGGCCACCUGUACACGGCAUCCUCCGUCGCGCGCGCCUUCUUCAACGACAUCGUUCGCCUGCACGGCUUCCCCGACUCCAUCGUCAGCGAUCGUGACCCUGUGUUCACGGGACAUGUCUGGCGCGAUCUGUUUCAGCUGGCUGGUGUCCGGCUGCGCCUGAGCACGGCGUUUCAUCCUCAACCGAAGGCUAGUCUGAAGCAACGAACAAGACCAUCGCAAUGUACCUCUGCUGCAUCACUGGUGAUCGGCCGCAAGAUUGGCUGACCUGGCUUCCGUGGGUUGAGUAUUGUUAUAAUACUUCAUUCCACUCAGUGCUAUGGACAUCGCCAUUCCACGUCGUCUAUGGUCGCCAGCCGCCGACCUUGCUGUCCUAUGACAAGGAAGUGCCCGCACCAACACCGUCGAUAACAUGCUGUCCAGCUGCGAUGAGUUGUAUAAUCUUUUAUUCGGCCAACCAAAUAGAACAACAUAACAACGGAUAUUAUUUUCAGUUUUAGAAUAUCGAAUUUGAAGGGAAUUUUGCUAGCCUCUUGAAAAACUGGUGCAAGAUUAUGCUAGGGAAUCGCUGAGUCCUUCUAAGGCCCUGUUUGGCACAGCCCCACUUCAGAACUCUAGCAACUCCAGCAAAAAAAUCUAGCCAACCAUCUCAGCUCGAAAACUUCAUGGAGCUGCCAACUCCAUGGAGCGGUAGUGCAAAUAGGGAUGGAGUUUUAGAGCACCUCUUUUGCUGCUCCAAAACCUCCUAUUUUGAACCUCCUCGUGGAGUUGGUAGAUAAUUACCCACCAAGGCCACUCGUUAAAAAAAAUGCUUCAUUCUUUUUUCCUUUCGAGACUCCCGACGCCCCCAUCUCUCCUUUCCACGCGCUCCUCUGCUCUCGAGAACCGUUGCUGGCUAGGCUUAGCGCCGCCGGGAAUCAAAUCCCCACCGCCAGCCGCCCGUUCCCCUCCUGAGCGCCAAGCCCCACCGGCCUCUUAGCCCCUCCCAGCUCCCGCCGCCACCCACACACCUACCGUCCGCCGGGAAAACGAAGCUCCGCCGCCAGGAAUCAAAUCCCCGCCGUUGGCCGCCUGUUCCCCUCACGAGCCUCCUCCUUGGUGCAGUGGCGCGGCAAGGUUGCCAAAGCUGGCUCCAGGGACGCACCAAUGCCAAAGCCAGUGGAUCUGAGACCGUGCAAGGCUUGCGGCACCAAAUCAUGGGGGCGCAGUCCAUGACUUAGGCCACCAGCGCGGGACUACUGCCCCGAUGUGGGGCUGGGGCCACCUAGGUGUGGGGCAGCAAGCAUGGGUUCCGCGGCCGCCUGUCCUUCCCACAGCUGCGCCGCGCGAGGCCAAUGCCGCAGGGUCAUCAGUCGCCGGUCACCGGUACAGUGGUGCAGCGUGGCACCCGCGUGAUGGCCGAUGGCCUGGGCGCAGAACCCGUCGCGGUACGCCAUCCAUGCAGCGCUCCUUGGUGUCCUCGCCCCGAGCAGCAGGCCGCGUGCGCACCGGACGGUGCUGCUCCUCGCCACGAGGAGGUCAGCCAAGGCUCACCACUGGUCGUAUGUGGCGCGGGGUAGCCGAGCGGUUCUUCAAAGAUUCUUUGGCCUUCUUGUUUCUGCAUUCUUGGAACUAGUCGUGGAUGGUGAAUGUUGUCUGAUCGAUGAGAUCAGCUCUGAGGGCUGAGUUCUGUCAGGUUUGAGUUACCGAACAGCUCUCUAUGCUUGCCUAUUUGUUUAUUCACAUAUUUUCCAUUAGUUGAUGAUUUUUGUUUCUACUGUUGACCUCAAACACAAUCAGUUCAUUUUGGUGUGAAUUCGAUUAAUCUGUGCUAAUGCUAACUGAUGUUGGUUGCUUGUGAACUGUGAACGGUGACUUGGGCGUUGCAAUCAAUGUGAUAGUGUUAAGUUUUCAGAGUUGCACUGCGUUCAGAGUUGCUCAUGCACAUUGCAUUGCCGUUACUAAUUCUUCAGAAUGUUUUGAAGAUUUUGCAAGCCGAACCGUUUCAUUUCUCCGGUUCAGUUUUGGAGCAAGUCCAUAUAAUGCAGCGAUGCAACACUUGACGACUUGCGCUUCUCAUUUAGUAUUUCAGUACCAGUGUUGGGAGUUGUUAAUUCACACUGCACUGCUGUCUUGCCGACCACCUAAAGAUUUUGCAAAAAGCUGUUCACCCGAGGAAGAAGAAGAAAAGGGGAAUAAGAGGAUGAUAGGUGGGAUCAUGAGUUGGGGGCAAGAAUGACAAUUCACUUUCAAACUCCUCUUUUCUGGAGUUGGGGACACCCUCCCAGCCAAACACCUCCAUCAGACCGCUCCAACUCCAUCUAGAGUUGGCUCCACCUGGAGUUUUGGAGUGGAGCAGCUUCACACAGAGUUGGAGUCAUGCCAAACAGGGUCUAAGUUUCAGUUUUGAUGGGGGCAUUGGGCUGACCAGGUUUUGAUGGGCCAACAGCCGCCCCACACCACGGAGGUGUGGUUCGUGUGGAGGCCCAGUUCAAUUGUUUUACCUUGCUUUCCACUUAAAAUAUUCUUUUUCCAACAAUUUUAGACUUUCCGACACCAUUUUAGGGGUGAUGGAGUUGUUGGCACGGUGCACGGCACUCACAUGGUUCGUUUAACUUUAAAUCUUGGUACCAUAUUUAGUUGGGAUGAUUCGACCUGAGCAUUUUGCGAGCCACGUCGGGCUCAGACCGAGUGCCGAAAAAAGCUCCGCUCAUGGCAAGCUGAAACAUUGUGCUUAUGAAAUUGCUGGCGGUUGGUUACUGUGCUGGCGGUUGGUUAGGUCGACCACCAUCACAGUGAGCAGCACAGUGCUCACUGUGAUGGCAGUUGGUUACCUUGUCCGCUAGCAUAGUGAACCACUAUGCUGGCGGUUGGUUAGGUAGCCCGCCAGCACAGUGGUGUCUACGUUGGCGGGUGCAUCCAUUUGUGCUGGCUCCAAGUUAGUGAUGCCCGCUCCACCCGCUAGCGUAGUGGUGUUUUACCCGCCACUACAAAUCGAUUCUAACAAAGUGUUAUCAGACUGAGUUUUUAGGUUGGGCUCGGGCUGACCUGAUUUUUUUCGAACUUUAGUUUUUCUGACCACGCUUGGCCCGACAUCUAAACUGGGCGGGCCGAAACCUACCGAGCUCGGUCUGUGCUCGAAAUGCUUAGGGGAAGAUACAAUAAUUUACCGGAUUGUCUCCACUAACAAGAUCUGCAACGAUUCUGAGAGCAACCUGGAGAAUGCCUUGCAGAAGCUUAAGAGAGAACUCGCUCGAAAGAGGUACUUUUAGAAUUUAAUUUGACGUUGAUUCACUCAUCUCAAGCACGCACACUGUUUUUUUUUUCUCACACACGCUCAAAAUAGGUGCAUUGCUGAGAAUAACACGUAAUUGAAAAGGACAAGUAAAGCACAUGCAAACUACAUACACAAAAUUCAACUUCAAACUUGGAUCCGCAUACACUUUUAAUUGCUAGUACUAGUGAACUUCGUACACUUGAAGAAACUAUGAAAAAUGUACACACACAUCAUGUCAAGUCGAAGAAACUAUGAAAAAUGUACACACAUCAUGUCAAGUCGUAAACACAGAGAGCAAUAUCCAACAUUUUUUUUAAUUAAGAAAAAACAUCCGAUCUUGAACAUUCACAUGUGAAUGUCUAUGACCACAAAGUAACACAUCCACCCACAUAGCCAGAAGCUAACACGAGUACUUAGACUACAAAACUCCAACCAAGGAACACAAAAGACAAGAAAUAAAGCAAAUAAGAAAGAAAGCUUCAAACUUCUUCUACGUCCUUCCUUCAACCUUGCUUUGGUCCUUAUGCAGCAACAAACGUCUCACAUCAGCUGUCUUCUUAGAAACUUUUGAUGUAAGGAUCGUCGAUGGUCAUGUGCUACUUGGUAAUCCUUGUCAUCUAGAAACUGCAAUGAGUCAAUCUCUACCACGCAAACAGAUUGGGCAUUGCCAUUGCUCCAAGCUAACCAUGGUGUCGUCAUCAAGGACUCCAAGACGACACCUCAAGAGGAGAGCAACAUCUCAAUGCUACUGUCGGGACUACUCCCUGGACCCACGAGUAGGCCUUGGACGACCCACUAUGGGACGUACUCGGACGUGAUCAGAACAAGGAUGGGUGUAUCCUACUCGGACUAGUCUUGUAUGUUUAUGGAAAACUACUCGGGACGAUACCGAGUAGAACUCUGUAAUAGUACCCGACUAGGACUCAGACUUGUAACCCUGCCCUCCUAGGUAUAUAAGGCCGGGUAGGGACCCCCCUCAAAACAGAUCCCUCAGGACCAGAACAUACAUCAAUACAAACCAACAUACAGGACGUAGGGUAUUACGCGAUCUAGCAGUCCGAACCUGUCUAAAUCGAGUUCCCUUUGCCACCAUUGAUUCCUUGAUUCUCGACGACCCUUACGGCACAAAAGACCACCUAGGGUACCCCUAGGCAGGUGUCCGGUCUAGAACACCGACAGCUGGCGCGCCAGGUAGGGGCGCUCGUCGAGUUUCUCAGCGAGAACUCAAUGGCAAAAGUCAUCAUCAGGCCCAUUUUCUUCAUCGAAGCCGGCGCCACCUUCGUUUUCGGAUCCUGGCUCUGCGUCGCCGAAGGCUCGGGAUCGUUCCGGCGCCAGAUCGCCGACUCUUAGGAGAAGAAACCAGAAGAAGUAACCAGAAAAAAAUCAAGAUUUCAAAGUCAACAAGCUCAAGUUCGACUACGCGUCGGACUCGACUUCGCCUCGUACUACCCCAACGUCUCGCUCAAGGGUUGGGCUCCGCCGACCCCAGCCCCUGGAGUUGGGCGAGGCGAAGCUACCCUCCCACAGGGUCAGGCUCUCCCGACCCCAGGACUUGGGGUCGGGCGAGGCGGAGUUCCACUCAGGGUCGGGCAAGGCGGAGCUACUCCCUCACAGGGUCGGGCUCAGCCAACCCCUGGACUCAGGGUCGGACUCGCUUCAGAUUCGGCGACCCCAGUCAGCAUCCAAAUCAGUUUUGACUUCAAAGCGGUUCCCGCACGGACUUCGCAACGCGACAAAAGUCUAUCAAGAUUUUCUUGCUCGAACCCGAGUCGAACUCAGGUAUGAUGAGGACGUUGACUCUGACUCAUCUUACUCUCCAGAAAUACCAUUAUCCGGUCCAGCCCAAGGGUUGGUAAUAACUUCAACACCACAAGGCAGAUUGGUCCAUUGGCCGGGAUUGUGACCAUCUUUUCUCAACCGCGACUACGACUCGCGCCUCGUCGCCCAUAUAGACAACCUGCCGUACCAAGAAGGCAUUCCACUUACAUCCAACCACGAAGGAAGCUAUACAAAGCUUGCUACAUCAAGUUCACGAAGCUACUACCCGGACAGGGAGAUACUUGUUAUUACUCAGAAUAACAAUUCGGGUACUAGCCAGAACAGAACCCCCAGGCGACUAGCACAAAUCGACAACUUCUCUGAAGAUGAAUCCACAGCCAACAAUGAAACUCCCGAACAACGCAACCAACGAAGGGCGCGCAAUACCUCUCGAGCUGAGCGCCGACAAUCGAUGGCUACAAAUAUCCCUAUUACAAAUCUUGAACGGGCUUUCAACGCAGUCCAAGCUCAGGAGCACAAUACUCCACUCGCGGCUAUCGCUUCAAUCAACCUUUCGCCGACACUGAUGCCUCAAGACAAGGAUAACGCAGCCACAGCUCAACUCUUGCAGCGUGGCAAUGGACUAAUCGCACAACUCACGGAGCAAGCUUAUAAGCUGCUUGACAAAGAAUCACCAAUCCCAUCUGUUCCUCGCAUAACAGACGGAAGCAGAAGGGCUGCAGAUAAAAAUGUCGCCCCGCGAAACGAUAAUGUAGCCAACCAGCCCCGGCAACAUAGCCAAGGUCCAAGCAAGCAUAAAACUCCUACUCAACAGGAUGUAGGUGAAGCCAGCUGCACCAACUCGGUUAAAAGUGUUCGCCCUACUCGGAAGAACCGCGAGAUGUCCAACAUCAGCGAUCUACGAGAAAUCCUCAACAGUCGGCGUGAACGGGAAGUCGACAGCUACAAUCACUUUCCUGCUUUCACAAACCGGGUAAUGAAAACAAAAUUACCUGAAAAGUUCAAACCGACCGGCAUUACCAAGUACGAUGGCAAGCAAGAUCCAAUUCGAUGGCUACGCUGUUACUCGCUAGCCGUCCAAGCCGCCGGAGGCAACAACGACACCAAAGUCAUUCAUUUUCCCAUAUGCAUGGAACCCGCACCACUGACCUGGCUCGAGUCACUUAAACCCAAGUCCAUCGACUCCUGGGCAGACUUGACAAAGGCUUUCACCAACAACUUCGCCGGCUCCAUGGCUAGACCAGGCAACAAGAUUGACUUACAACAAAUUAAGCAGAGAGAGGGCGAAACCCUGCGCGACUAUCUACGACGGUUCUUCGAAAAGAAGGCUACCAUAGUAGACAUCUCCGAAGCAGAUGUCAUUGAAUGUUUCCAAAACGGACUCUACGAUCGACGAACAUACCAAGACUUCGGUCGCUGACGGCCGGCCGAUGUCAAAGAACUCAAGCUCAUGGUGCAACAGUGGGCCGAUGAAGAAGACAAAGAACGUGAACGGUUCGGUUCCCACCGUAACUGCGGACGCAACAACACCCACAACAAUGACACAGAUAAACCUCGUCAUAACGAUGCUCGGAAUUCCUAUCCGGGUAAUCAUAAUCGCAAAAGGAAGCCCGACAACACUGUUGCUGCCAUGACCAGCUCCGGGAAAAAGGGACAGCGCAGAAACAACGACGGACCAACCUUCACGGAGCUACUCAAAAAGCAGUGCCCAUGGCACCCGACCAGCAAGCACUCCGCAUUGGACUGUUACAGCAUACGCCGAGUUAUGCAAGAUUUACUAGCACCACCAACUCUCGAAGAGUACGCCAAAAACAGAGACAAGGGUAAAAGCAGAGCCCGCAAAGACGAAGAUGAAGACGGCGAUUUCCAACCAGCCUCAAAAACCGUCAAAGUCAUUUUUGGUGGCAUCCCUAGCACAGCAUCCAAGCGAGCAAAUAAACUCGUACUCAGGAAGAUCAUGGCCAUCAAGCCGACGGACCCCACACCGCUAAAGUGGUCAGAAGUUCCAAUUUCUUUCAGCAGAAAGGAUCAAUGGACAAAAUUUUCAGAACCCGGCCGUUUUCCACUAGUCUUGGACCCAGUCGUGGCAGGUUCAAAGUUAACCAAAGUACUCAUCGAUGGCGGGAGCGGUCUCAACGUCAUCUUCGCCAAAACAUUAAGGAAAAUGUGCCUCGACGUCACGGACAUGCUUACUCAUAGUGCCCAUAGUGCCGCCCGAACUAACAAGUCGGUUCGCUAGUUUUCACCUAGAUCUGUUCCUGUAUGUUGAGGUUCUCAUAGCAAAUAUAUAUAUAUCUGUGUGUGUGUGUGUGUGUGUGUGUGUGUGUGUGUGUGUGUGUGUGUGUGUGUGUGUGUGUGUGUGUGUGUGUCAUGUUCAAGUUUUCUAACAUGAGAAAAAUUUAAGAAUGUUUAACUUCCCCACUUAGUGCCUACUUGGAAUAAGAAACAUUAAGAUGGCCCAAGGGAAUUUUAGGAUCAUUUGAUCAAAAAUUUUAGGUGCAGAGAUCUUCAAAAGGUCAGCAGGAAGAAAAACAUUUCAUCUUUUUCUGCUCCCUCGACUUACACUAAGGAGCUGCAAAAGCUAACGACGCCUCUUGUUUCGAGGCCCCAGCAUUGAAAUUAAGAAGACAACAAUGCCUCACCGCUAGCAAGCUGCCCUCUUGGAUAUGCACGGAAGAACUUGCACAUCUCACAUACCAUUUACGCUUCCUCUUGUGGCAUUCACAUAACUUAAGAAAAAAACGUACUCAAAUAGAAACGCACUAAUAGCAUGAUUAUUUGUAACAGGUACCUUCUUGUAUUGGACGACGUCUGGAAUAAGGAUGCUAACAAGCUGAAUGCCUGUCUUAAACAUGGUGAUGUUGGUAGCGCCAUACUAACGACAACCCGUGAUAAAGAAAUAGCUCAACUCAUGGGUACAGUUGAAGAACAUGGCAUUGCACGUUUGGACAAGAAAUUCAUCAAGAAAAUUAUUGAGGCUAAAGCAUUCAUUUCGCAAGAGAGAAAACCAACUGAUUUAGCCGGCUUGGUUGAUGACGUUGUUGAGAGAUGUGCCGGGUCUCCAUUGGCAGCGAAGGCACUAGGAUCUGUACUACAUGGCAAGACAAGCACGGAAGAAUGGAAGGCUGUGCUUAGCAAAAGCAUCGCCCAUAACAAGGACGAUAAAAUCCUGCCUAUUCUCAAGCUCAGUUACGAUGACCUGCCAUCACACAUGAAGCAGUGCUUUGCUUUUUGUGCUGUGUUUCCCAAGGACCAUGAGAUUAACGUGGAAAUGCUGAACCAACUAUGGAUGGCAAAUGACUUUAUUCCUGAACAAAAAGAUGUUCGUCAUGAAACAAUUGGUAAACAGAUUUUCAGUGAGCUGGUCUCAAGGUCAUUCUUUCAAGAUGUGAAGCAAGUCAAUGGGAAAGCAUGGGAAGAUGUGUAUUGGUAUUUCUCUACAAGUACAUGUAAAAUCCAUGAUCUUAUGCACGAUGUGGCACUAUCUGUCAUGGACAAAGAGUUGCUACCAUAACUGAGAAACCAAAGCAGAGUGAUGAGUUGCUUGAGAACACUUGUCGUCAUAUAUUGUUAUCAUGUCGCAAUCCAGAGGCCGUUUUGAAUGAUUCUCUGAAUAUAAAAGCAUGUUCGCUUCAGCUUAUAAGCCGACUAUCAACAAAGCAAAGCAAGCAAGCAGCGACGCUUCCAGAUGACAUGAUGGCCGCGAAAGAGACGUGAUGCUAAGCUAGAGUACUCUGCACGAGAAGCUUCCAUGUCCAGAAGCAAGGUAUACCCCUGCAAGCUGCUCGACAGAGUAAUCUGAUGUGCAGUCAAACAAUAGCUGCUUCAGCAAUGGUUGCCCACAAGAACAGGGGCAAAGAAAAGCAAUAGCUUACAGCAAGAAGAAAAGCUAACUGGCUGUGUGAACACAUCAACCCUUUACAACAGGAAACCAAGUCCUAAACACACAGAAAUUAAUAAUCUGGCAUGGAGCUAGCAGGCUCCUCAAAAGCGGACCGACUUUUUAUUGAAAGUGCUAGUUCACUGCUUAGGAACAAACGCACGCAGCAUCAUUAAUAGGGUAAAAAUACAAAAAACCACACACACACACCCUUGGCUCAUACAAAUGCAGCAACAGUCCACAGUACUCCCUCGUUUAUAUCCCCUUUAUUGACAUCCUCAGCUCUCAACAGGUGACUAUCUGAGCAGCUCUCGUCUUCCCAGGUGCGCCUGAAUGUCAUCAAACCAGAUGCUACAGUUCCUGGCUACAACCGUUUACAAUGUUCGAAUUUCCAGUCCGUAACCAGUGGGGCAAAUGUUCCAUGCAAUCGAAAUAACAUGAUGAGAAAUGAAGUACAAAUGGCACAGAGAGUCAUCAAGGGCUUUCUGGCAAAGGUUUUUCUUCAGACAUCCUUCCCCAGAGGCCCAGAUCACAUCAGGCAAACAACCCAACCAUCGCUCAUAAUUGCUUCACAGCAUGGGAACCACGGGGAUCGCCAUGAGAAUUCCACUGAAGAAGCAUCCAUACGAUUGACGUUCCUAUGUAAACAAACAUGAAGUAUUGAUCAGACUAGCUAAACAAAUGAUCAAGAUGGAAAUGGAACAUUAUUACAAGUACUCCAUCACGGUUUCAGAUUUAAUUGCCACCUAUUCUAGUCAUCUGUCAAGCUACAUAUGCAGCAAGCACAACAAGCUCCCCGGGCCAUUUUGCAAGAUGGAACUAAUAAAUGCCACGCUGCAUUGUUUUUAAAUGCAAAAAAAAACAAUAUUGAUGAAAUCCUGAUAAAGUUUAAACUACAAGACUGCAUAGGAAAACAAUAUAGCUCCAAAUGCUAAAUGAAAUGAAUAUUUGGAGAAAAGCACCAGAUAAUCAAACCUAACUGUAAUGAGUGCGGCAGUAAAAGCUGAUUAGGUUCUAAAGGACUAAUUUUUCAAAUGCGAAAUGAAAAGAACGGUCCAGUCACAAGGCAAGCUUAGUACCUGCAAAGAAGCCAACCGUGCUCAGAUUUGCUGCAGCCAUGGUCUGGUAUAUCAGGUAUUCCGUGAGGAAAUGGCCAAGAGCGUAGAUGAAUGAUAGGAAGGUGGCCAGAUAUAGAGGCCUAUUUUCCAGAUUGAGUGCACAAAGGAAGCACAACGUGCAGGUCAGAAGUGUCCAGACACCGAAAGUACGGCCGUGUACAUCAGUCACUACAUGUAACAGAACAAUGUUAAUCAGACUAUAGAAGAUUCGUCUUGAGCAUGUCUUUGUAAGGAAUGACAGUACAUAAACAGGAACGAGUUAGUAUGAAGCUGCCUUUGAGAUGCUGCAAAAGCCAUUGUGAACUAAAGCUUAUAAGUGCCUACAGGCUACAGAAAACUGAAAAGACAAUCCAGCUGAGAUAUCACAACUUCCCAAGCAAUCGAUCCAGAAGGAAGAAUUAUUGGCAAAGAUAAGCAAAGUUCCACAAAGAAGGGAGAAAGUAUUGAUAGUGUCCAUGUGCAAUGUAAAGUUCCAGAUCCAAGCUUUUUUACCCAGGUAAGCUAGUAUUGAUAGUGUUCAUGUGCAGUGUGCAGUUCCAUAUCCAAGCUUCUUUACCAGAGUAAGCUACACGGGCAGUCAACAUCAGUAGAUGGCUUCUUGGUAUGGCCAUAUAACAGUACCCCAUAGUAGGAGCUUCAAGGGUAACUAAGAACUACCAAGAUCAAUACACUACUUAUGAACUUAUAAUAGUAAGGCAUGCAUAGUGCUCUUCUAAAAUGGGGGUGUCAGCAUAAAGAUUGCAGGGCUCUACAUCAGAACAAUAAAGGGCCGUUGCUGGCAUUUACAACUUUAAUAUCAACCUGAAUCCAGUAAACAGUCAUGAACUAACAAACAUCCAUGCAACAAAAAUACAUGGAUAGAGUAAGAUUAUUUGUUUCUCUUAGAAAAAAUAAUGGCCGCUGAUCCUCCGAUAAUACCAAAGCCUCUGUAAGAAAAAAACAAACUAAGGAUCUGACCCUCAGAAAUUUCUGACCUAUCCUCAACCAAGAAUGAGCUGCGUGCCUGCGUCACUAAGUCCUCUCAUUAGACUACUCCCAACUAUCCCAAUUGCAGACUUGAAAUACUUCCUUACUACAACAGUAUGAGACUUGUCCGGAAUGAGUCUCACUAACUGAAAAAAAAAAUCUUCUUUAACCUUGACUAAUUCAUAUAGUGAAAACUAAAAAGAUAACAUGUACCAGACGUGCUGACCAAUAACAACUGAAGUCCUUUAAUUUGUUACCAAUCCUAUAAAUCUAUGACCACAGAUGCACAAAGACCAUCCACUUACUCGGCAUGCCAAAUUCGAGCCAGCAAGUUCUGAUUCAGAAUUUCAGAUACCGUUGUUGUGCCGCUAAACGGCGCACCCGGCCAAUACCAACAAGAAAACAGACAGUGUCGUCGAGUUCAAGCUCGAACUGAUCACAGUGGUUUCCUUCUCCUUCUGCCUCCAAAUCACCAUUAAGAAGACGCGGUACAGAUCAGGCUAGCACGCCAUCAGAUCUACCAACACAAUUACACAAAUACCCCACACGAUGGGCUUCCCAACCCAGCGAGACGCAGACGGGAGAGUAGCGGAAGAGGGAGCAACGGACGGGCAACUCACUCUCCGUCUGGGAGAAGACGGCGACGCGCAGCGCCCAGAUGUUGAAGAAACCGAACCAGACGGAUGCGAGGCGGAGGGAGCCGACGAGCAUCAGCCACCAGCCCAGCGCCGGCAUGCCCUUCUUCUUCCCCUCCGACGCCAUGUCCCCCGCGGCAAUGCUUCCACCGGUGAGCAGCGGCCAGCCGGCGAAGCUCUCGCGCAGGGAGAGGCGAAGCGGGUGGGAGGCUGCGGCAGAGGGAGAUGACGACGACAACCAGGCCGGGCCCUUUUGGAUGUUUAGAUGGGCCGCCGGAUGCCCGGAUGAGUUGGCCUGUUUUUUUGUCCUCAUGCUGCAUUAUGGGCCAGCAGAUCCGCUACAAAAGCCGUCCUCUAACAAUCAUGUGAGCCCACAACGUCCUUACAUUAGUAAAUGCUGUUAUUAUAAUACUUUUUUUUGUUGCCAGGGAUUUUAAUAGAUUAUUAUAAUAGUCUGCCACAGCUAAAACCCAAAUGCAUUAGAAAAGGUUUUCAGAUUGGUCGUAUAAACUGAAAAUGCUAUAGUUUUAAUAACAUAUGCAUAAUUGUUUUUGUAGGAUGCAACAAAACAGUUUACGAAAACCAAUCUGGUGCUCUUUUGACCCUCAAUACAUCACGAGGAUGUUAAGGCUACGUGACGCCAACACAUGACACAAUUUUUUCCUUGACAAGUUGUUGUAUUCGCAGCUCAUCAUAUGAUUCUCACCUUGAAACAAUAAACAAUGGUAAUAGGUUUUCUGAAAGAAAAUACUGCCAACAGUAUAUGCCUCGGGUGCAUUAAAUUUUCUUUUCUUAAAAAAAUGAAGAAUACCGUGGGAUUUUUCCUUACAAUGUACAAGGAGUGCGCCAACGUGCCUUAAUAAUAAUUGAUUACUAAACUUGGCAAACUUAAUGAAAACAACAGCUACUAGUAGACUACAUGGUCUGAUGAGUCACCGAAGCUUUUGGCAGUAGCAGGUCACGGGAGAAAUUAGACUGUUAUAAAUUGUUAACAAUGUAAGCUAUUUUGGAGCUUUUGUGGCGGUACCACAAGACUCUCAGCAAGUUGAAGCAUUAUGGUCGAGAGACGACUCUUAGCCUGUUCGCUUCAGCUUAUCAGCCGGCUUAUCAACUAUCGAACAGUAUUUUUCUCUCAUAAUAAAUUAGCCGUUUCAACUUUUCAGUCGGGAUAUAAGUUCAGCCGGACGGACCCUCUCACCGUGCAUCGGGGUCGUGGGGGGCGGUGUCUGAGAUGAUUCUCAGGUAAUCCACCCAUUUCCCAGACGACCAAAGAUGCUGGGGCGCAGAGCAGAGCCGAUGACUGGCGACUGUUGAUGAGUUUACUACGCACGUCAAGCAUGCAUGGACUGGACCGCAUCUGGACAUCGUCCAGGCACCUGAUCUGACCUGACCUGACCUGAGCAUCUGACUGACUUGACCAGCCAGCCAGCAGCCUACUGUACUCUACUGUGUUUGUCUGCAUUGCUAGGAUUAGACAGCACGACAAGGUACCCUGUCCUGCUAGAUACGCCAACCCUGCUGCAGCUGCAAUGGCAAUGCAAUCGCUGGUGACCCUGACGACGCAUCCAUCCAUCGAACCAAGCUUUUUGUUUGCCAGCCAAUUCUAACGGGCGGUCGAUCUGAUUCUGGUGGCUGGUGUGGAUCAUCUGCUUGUCUCUCUCUGGCUGGCCUGGCCUCUCCCUCACCUCCAUGGCUCCAUCUGCGGCGGCAGCAGUGUACAUGCAAUGUUCAGUUUGAUCAGAGAUACAUUGCAAAUUGCAAUGGCAGGCGGCCGGGCACAUUUCAUUUCUACAGAUGUCGAUCAUCAGCACACCACCACCGUAGUUUGUUUGCGAGCAUUCUAGAAUAUAACAUUAGAACCAGGAAAGAUAGCAAAACUACCGGUGAACCGGCAGCACAACCAUGUAAGAGUUGGUAUGGAACGGGCAAGCGGCACAAGCCAAUACGGCUGCCUUGCCUUCGUUAGUCAAUCCAAAGUCUACAAGUUCAUAUAGAACAGCCGGGUACAAACUGAGUAGGAGCAGAUAUGGCCCCCAACCUCGCCCCCCCUCCGCCGCCCCGCCCCACGCCGGCGACGGCCGAACCCCGCCCGACCCUGCGCCUCCGCCGCGAACCCCCACCCCCAUGCCGACAAGCCCCCCGGGAGCCGUGCCCCCCACCACCAGCCUCCCCGCGCGCCCGCUCGUCCUGGGAGAAGUUCUUCUCCCCGUCCCCACCUCCGCCCCCCCCCCCCCCCGCCAUGGCAGACCGGCGCCCGUCGAUGACGAGUGGGUACCGGAAUCGCCGGAUCUGCGCAUCUCCCCACCGGAUCUUCGACCCCCGACGACGGAUCUACUGCCAGAGAGCCAACCUGGCAGGAAGCUGUCCUACGCGGAGGCGGUCAGGGGGGGGCUUUCAAUUCCCCCUCUACUCCGCCCGCCCGGCGCAACAUUGAAGGCCUCCUUGCCCCUGCCAGAGGUAGGGGCAGUAACUCCGGCGACGCGACGGCUCUACGGCGCAUUCAACUCUCCACGACGUCAGCAGCUCACCGGACCAAGCGCGGCACGACACCGAGGAUCCAGCCGCGUCAUCCGUCUCAGGAGUGGCAGCCGGUGACGCGCCGCAGGGCGCGGCAGCGCGCGCCGCCCGAGCUGCCGCGACGGGAUGGCGGAGGUGACCGCCACUACAGGACCUCUUCAAGGAAGCCACCCACUGCUGCUCUCCUCAGCUUCAACCGCGCGACCGAGGGGCGCUGCUUCAUCUGCCUCGCGCCUGACCACCGGGCCGCAUUCUGCCGCGACCCGGUGCGUUGCUUCCGCUGCCGGCGCUCCGGCCACAAGGAGCGGGACUGCAAGGCAAGGACCGCUGCAUCCGCCGCAACCCGCCACAAAGCCUCCACCAGCCACCGCCCCGCUCCCGCUGCGCCUCGCCCAACCUCCACGCCCCGCCCGCGCAACGCCCCAGCCACCCAAAGCGCCGCGCAUCCCACCCUCCUCGGCUGCUCCUCUCCCGCCGUCAAGCCACAAGAACUCCAACGCGAUGGCCAUUGGUGACCCCCACACGCGCCCGGAGGUCGAGACGAUCUUCGUCUCCGACUCCUUCCACCUCGUGCACAACGCGCGGGAUUGGGAGGCCUGCGCCCUCGUCCCAUGGGCGCUGCACCUGCCGCCAGGUGCCGGAGCCCGGGACAUUGCGGGGCUGAUCAGCAGGGAGCUCCACCUGCGCCACGGCGAGGUCAACGUCACCCUCCACCAGCCGGAGCCGUACCUCAUCCGCUUCGUCAGCGAGACCCAGGCGGCGGAGGCAUGGCGACGCGGACGCUUCACUGGUGGGGGCAUCGACAUCUGCCUCCGGCCAUGGCGCAGCCUCACCCACGCCCUCGGCUUCCGCAUUUUCUACAGAGUACGACUCUGCCUCGAUGGCAUCCCGAGCCAUGCUUGGACGCCGGAGAUCGUCGAGCGCGUCAUCGGCCACAAGUGCGCGCUACAGCACAUCGUCACCGACCUCGUCCAGCCGGCGGACUCACGCCACAUCGAGCUCUGGGCAUGGACAGUUGACCCGAGCGAGAUCCCGAAGAAGGUAUGGCUCGCCUUCGUCCACAGUCCGGCGACCAAAUCCUCUGCUUUCUCUGUUUCGGCCGAACCUCCCCCCACUUCUUGGCAGCAAGGCGCACGCUAUGAAGUCUUCAUCCACAUGCCCCUCCUGGAAGAUUACACGGCGGCGGCGCGCAAUCUGGAGCACGCCGUCAACAACCCAGAGAACAUCACCCCAAUUCGUCGCCGGUAUGAAUGGCGCUAUGGGCUGGUGGAUGGCGUCCCACCGGACGCGCGAUCUCAUUUCCCGGCUCGGCUGCCGCGACCGCCGCGGGAGCCUGAGCCACGGGACCUCGACGACCGCGGAGACAGAAGGACGACUGACCAUCGCCGUGGAAGAACUGGUUCCUCCGGUGCCGCUGGCGACGGACGCGGAGCCCCCGGCGACGGCGACGCGGCUGUCGGUGGCCACGGGCGGGAACGACAACCUCACCAAGUCGACAGGAACCGCACCAAGCACCGGGCGGACCAGUCGACCUGCAAAAGGGGCUUCAUCUGGCCACCACGGCGCGGGGACGACGACGACGACGAGCACCAUGACUACAACCACCCGGGUCAUGGGCGCAAGUUUGGUGACGCCUAUUGGGGCUGCGCGGCCACGGGACGCCGUGACCGCACCAGGUCACCGCCCCGCCGCAGCUACGCGCCGCCGCAAGGACAUCACCACGCCCUGAGCGCCCAGGAACAGAGCACCUACAACCCGUCUCAACUGCGAGCCCUGUUCCAAGCCCAGGCGUCUGCGCUGACGGAGCAUAUCCAGGUAACAGCACCAACUAAUGUGUUUGCUAUGGAGGCCAGAAACAGGGGAACCGACAACGGCGACUACAUCCGCAAGUUCUCCGCCAUCGCCGACCGCCUCGGCUUCGACGACGACUCCUCCGGGGAAAAGGCCUGGUCCGCAACUGUCCCUCUGCCCCGAGUCUUCAGCACCCUGCGGGCGGCACUCCUUCCGGCGCCGCCAUCGCCGACGGUGGCGGACGUCGAACGAGCACUUGACGCCAUGGCCGUCGGCACCAAGCAGAGCAGCUUCACGAUGGGCCGCGACGCCGGCUUCAAAGAAGGCCCGCUGCUCUCCGAGGCAGCGCUGCAGCUGACCCCCCAGCUGGGCCAGCGGCCCAAUUCGCCUGGGCUGAGCGCCAUCCGCAUUGGUGGCCUGGUGGUGGGGGGGCUCCACGGGCCGCUCCCUCGCACUGGCCGGGUCACCUUCCUCACCGGCCCAGCUGGGCCAGCGGCCCAAUUCGCCUGGGCUGAGUGCCAUCCGCAUUGGUGGCCUGGUGGCGGGGGGGGGGGCUCCACAGGCCGCUCCCUCGCACUGGCCGGGUCACCUUCCUCACCGGCCCAGGGGGCGACACAUGCCGGCCCGGUGAUGCUUGGGUCCGCUGCCGGGUCCAUAGCCCACGCGGCCUGUCCGGCGGUGAGCCACGAUAGGCCCACUGACUUGGGCCUCAAUUCUCUCAACGCCCAGAAAAGCUCACCGCGCAGUUUGAGGGAGGGAGAUCAAGACCUGAGAGAGAUUGAUUCUCUCUUCUGUAAUCCACCUCCACCACUGCUCCAGGAGCCGGGGCUGCGUCGCCAACGCCAACGCCGCUCCUUCGAUAUGACGGCCGUCCGGAGAAGUGCACGACUCGCAAGGAAACCACCCAUGCCGGUGACCGAGAAGGCGCAGAGGAAUCUAUGCAGGAAACUGGGUUUAACCAACGAAGAGCUGACUCCCAUUGACGACGUCCUUCGCGACUUCCUGUCAAUGUUUCAGGGCCCUCUCCCGGAGACCAUUGUGGCAGCUCUGACGGCCAUCUUUGGAUUGGACGAUGAAGGGGCGGACAUGAUAGAAGAGGCACUCCUGAAUCAUGCUGGCACGGCCGCGGCGGAGCCACAAUUCGAUUAAUGGGAACCCCACGGCUUAGAGCGACGAUAACGUCUUCCCGCGUCUACCGUCACUACAUGUCUUCUAUCCUUUUGUUUGUACCUGUACUGCAAAGCCCUGCUGGCUGCGACCUUCGGGCUCCUACCUUUCCACGCCCUGCUGGCUUCGACCUUCGGGCAAUCAUAUGUAUCAUGAACCUGCGAACUUCCGUAAAACUAGGAGGGCCUGCUGCCCACGUCAUCCGUACGCCAACACCCGCCAACGAACCUUUCUACAUAAACGACGACGUUUUAACUUGCUCCGAUCACCGCUGCGACUUACACCCCAUGCGCACAGCCGCCACCCCAUGACAUACGACAACCUAGAUAUCUUAUCGUGGAACGCCCGGGGACUAAACGCGCCAGCCCGCUGUCUAACCGUGCAUGAUUUAAUGAGAUCGACACCAUGCCAAAUUGCAUGCCUGCAAGAAACUAAAUUACAAUCCAUCGACUCGAGCCUGGCUUCCUUUCUGGGCGCCUACAAAUUAGACAGCUUCACAUAUAAACCGGCGUUAGGUACGAAAGGAGGGAUCCUCCUUCUUUGGAAUGACACGGCAGUACAAAUUCAAAACAUAACAACUGGUAGAUUCUCCAUAACGGCAGAGGUCACAAUCCGGCACUGCAUGACCACCUUUACGUUAACUACGGUAUACGGCCCGGCACGACGCCACGAAAAAGAAACUUUUCUAAGACACAUGCGGUCUCUUAAACCAUCUGACGACACCAAAUGGAUAAUCCUAGGGGAUUUCAAUUUAAUCUACCGUGCAAGAGAUAAAAAUAAUACGAACAUCAACCGGCGGCUCAUGAACAGCUUCAGAAACACCAUCAACUUCUGCGGCUUAAAGGAAAUCAACCUGCAAAACAGGAAAUUCACGUGGAGCAAUGAACGAAGGUCACCAACACUAGUCCGCCUGGACCGAGUCUUCUGCAAUCAAAACUGGGACCUCCGAUUCGAAAACUGUCUGUUACACGUGUUAUCAUCAUCCCACUCGGAUCACUGUCCCGUGCUGCUAACUAAUCACGCCACUAUACGCCGACCUGCAACCUUCAAAUUCGAAAAUUUCUGGGUACGAUUGCCACACUUCCAAGAGAUAGUCUCCACGGCCUGGAACACACCGACCCAGCAUACAGAACCUUUCCAUAGGCUGGGCCAUAAGCUUUAUGUCACGUCGCAGGCGUUACAGCGCUGGAGUAGAUCAAUGCUUUCAGAUACACGUAUGAAGAUACACAUGGCUCAGGAGGUGAUUCUACGUCUAGAUGAGGCACAGGAUACCCGCGCGCUGUCUUCGGCAGAAACACUGCUACGGGGCAAACUGAAGCAGAGGCUCAUGGGGUGGGCCGUCAUAGAGAGAGCCAGGAAAAAACAAUGCUCCAGAGUCACUUAUCUAAAAGAAGGAGAUGCCAACACAAGAUUUUUCCACCUUAAAGCAAAUGGCAGAAGAAGGAAAAACUUCAUUCAGAAAUUACGUCACGACAACGGCUGGGCACUUACCCAUAAUGACAAACUACAGAUCGUACAAGAUCAUUUCCAAAAGAUCAUGCAGGAACCGCCACGCAGGACGCUCGACCUAAACUGGCCAGCUCUUGCUCUCCCGACAGUCGAUCUGUCAAUGCUCGACAACCCUUUCACUGAAGAGGAGAUCCGACAGGCCGUCUCGCAGAUGCCAAAAAACAAAGCGCCCGGACCAGACGGCUUCACAGGCCUUUUCUUCACCACCUGCUGGGAGAUUAUCAAAAGUGACCUCAUGGCGGUGAUAUCCUCCUUCUUUAACUCUCGCUGCACCGAUCUCAACCUUCUGAAUAAAGCCACAAUUAUUCUCAUACCCAAAAAAGAAGGGGCGGAGUGCAUCGCAGACUACAGGCCCAUUAGUCUCAUACACGCCAUCGCGAAGAUUAUAACAAAGACCCUGGCCCUGCGCCUAGCUCCUCUCAUGAACAAACUUGUCUCACCUUGCCAAAGUGCCUUCAUAAAAGGACGAAGCAUCCACGAUAACUUCCUGUACGUCCAAAACCUAGCACGCCGCUUCCACCGACGUAAUCAACCGACCUUGCUUAUGAAACUCGAUAUAUCCAAGGCUUUCGACUCGGUACGCUGGGACUACCUCCUCACCAUGAUGCAACACAGAGGCUUCCCACCAAAAUGGAGGGACUGGAUCGCGGCCAUCCUCACCACGUCAACAUCACGAAUUUCUCUAAAUGGAUUCCCGCUGGACCACAUACAACACGGGAGAGGACUCCGUCAGGGCGACCCCCUAUCGCCGCUCCUUUUCAUCCUAGCAAUUGACCCACUACAGUACCUGCUAUCGGCUGCCACGGAAAAGAGACUACUUCAAAAACUAAACAACCGUGCAACAUUUAUGAGAACAUCCAUGUAUGCCGAUGACGCCGUGAUCUUUGUCAAACCUUCCACACGUGACAUCACAAACUUAAAGACUCUCCUUCAAAAUUUCGGGGAAGCGACGGGGCUCAGAACGAACAUCCAAAAAACGAGUGUCACACCGAUCAGCUGCUCCCACGCUAUCUUUCAGGAUCUGCUCAGUGACCUCCCGGUCGCGCGGAGGAACUUCCCGAUAAAAUACCUGGGCCUCCCUCUAACGGUAGAACGCCUACGCCGCAUUGAUUUCCAACCUCUGAUCGACAAGGUGGCGAGCAAACUCUCAAAAUGGAAGGGCAGAAAUCUCAUGCAAGCAGGCAGACUAUGCCUCACCAAGUCUGUACUAUCCUCACAACCCGUCUACACGCUGACGGCCCUCAGAACGCCCAAGGAAGUACUAGAGGACAUUGACAAAAUCAGAAAACGCUUCCUAUGGGCGGGAGACAAAGAACUUACUGGAGGCAAAUGCAAAAUCAACUGGACGAGGACAACUCUACCGAAAAAACAUGGCGGCGUCGGAAUCCUUGACCUCCAUAAAUUCGCAAGAGCGCUACGCCUUAGAUGGUUAUGGCAUGCAUGGGCUUCCCCAGAUAAGACGUGGGUUGGAACCGAAACACCCUGUGACGACAAAGAUAGACUCCUUUUCGCGGCAUGUACGACGAUCACACUCGGCAAUGGGGCCAACACACGCUUCUGGCAAGAUGCGUGGGUCGCAGGGAGGCGACCAAAGGACAUCGCUCCACAUCUCUACGCGAAAACCAAAAGGAAAAAGAAAACAGUACGGGAGGCCUUCCACCAUAACAGCUGGAUUAGAGAUUUACAACACAGAACAGGCUUCACAAACACUCUAUUCAGCGAAUUCGUAACCUUAUGGCCUCUAAUCCAACAAUACCAGCUAAACUCGGACCAGGAGGACGAAAUUACAUGGAAUUUCACCCAGAGCGGUCAGUACACCUCAGCUUCAGCAUACAAGGCCCAACUACUAGGUAGCGUCAAAACGCCAAACCUGGCAACAGUGUGGCAAGCCUGGGCACCGGCAAAAUGCAAGGUCUUUGCCUGGUUGAUCCUCCAAAACAGGGUUUGGACUUCGGACAGAUUAGCAAAGCGGGGCUGGGACCAUACUCCUACUUGCACCCUAUGCCGCUGCACGAUGGAGACGGCGCAUCACCUCCUAGCUGAAUGCAGAUACACAAAACAAAUCUGGAAGCUCAUAGCCCAAUGGCUAUCACAAGGAAACCUGCAACCGGAGCAAUGGAAACACAGUACAAGGGCCAUUGAUUGGUGGAUCGGCAUCACAUCAACACCAGGGACCCCACGUAAAGCGUGCAGAAGCCUAACCCUACUGAUUAUGUGGGAGUUAUGGAACGAACGAAACUCCCGCAUCUUCCGCCACAAGGGUUCACCGACAACACAACUAAUGGCAAAAAUCAAAUCCUCAGCUAAUAUGUGGAUAGCAGCGGGAGCUAGAGACCUAGCGGCCCUGCUACCGUAAUCACACCGCUCCGAUGCCCCUGCGCCGUUUUUGUUCCCCUUUCCUUUUCCUUCUCUUUUUCUUUUAUUUUCUUGACCGCUCCGCCGGUUGUAUCUCCUCUAUAUCAAUGAAAUAGGCACACUCUCGUGCCCUUUCCGUUCAAAAAAAAAAACUGAGUAGGACUAUAAGGCGUGAACCUAGAGAAUAGGAGAGUCGCAGUACAACUGUACAAGAGGUAUUCCUGCAAUCAGUUCCAGGCAGCAGCACUGCAGCAGGCCAGCAAGCCCUUCUUCAGAUGAACAGACAGUGGCAGCCGCUCCAUCGUUUUGCUGUUCAGCAGCUUUGCUUCCUCAAUACAGUAGGCAUUUUGCUGCAGCCUCGCAGAGGGGGGCACUGCUUUGCACUGGAGUUAAAUGGGUAACUCUUCAAUUGGAUUAGACAGGACGUUGCUGUCUAUUGCAAGCGUGCACGUGCCACGACGCGACAACAGCAAAACGACCGAACCCGAAUCUGCUUGUCUCCCUACUCCUACACACUGACACAGUCACCAACUAGUAUUUGUUUCAGAGAAGAGGGGAUUUAGAGACAAAGCACAGAGAACGGAUAUAUAACAGAGGGAUAAUAAUGAAAGUCCUAGGUGAAGACAACUCCAUUCUUUUUUUCCCCACUAGCAUUUUUUAUCACCUACGUACUGAUUUGGAGUUGCCGUUAGUGUUCGUCACUGAUGAUGAAGGAAAGCCGGCCAGAGCUAGCAAAGCAAAGAGGAACGUUGAUUCAAUUCGUAACCAUGCAUAUCACCAACUUAACACCAGGCAGGCAAAACACUAGCUAAGCAUCAGUCUCAUUAAACUCACUAGCAAAUCACACGAUCGAAGAGACUGCGUGCAUGCCGCAGCGCUAGCUUAUAUAUAACCAAAUAAAAGGAACAUCAGGGGCCCCCGCACUUGCAUCUCCAGCUCAGCGGCUUGUAGUUGGAGCGGUCGUCGUACGACGCCGCCGCCUUCUUCUUCUGCAUCAGCGCCGACGAAGACGAUGCUCCUCCUCUACCACCAUGGGCAUGAUGAUGGGGGAUCUUCUUGUUGUCCUGCUGCGGCGUGAUGGGCACCUGGACGGCCACGCAGCGGCGGCCCCCGCACCACCAGCACAUCCCCGCGCAGAUCGGCGGCCUCGACCCGACCAUGGUCCUCAUCAUGCUAUUGCUCCCCACGCCACCACCCAUGCCCUGCUUGCCACAAGACAAUCCCAUCAAUCGAUCGAUCACAGCAGCAUCCAUUAUCUAUGCAAUACACCUGGUCUGAAGAAAUUCUAAUGUGCAAGCAGAAUCUCUUGCAGCUUAUUAAUAUAUGGAGCAUGAAAUGGUACCUGCAGGGUGACGGCAGCAGCUUGGACGCCAUGGCCUGUGGCAUGCGCGGCUCUGAUGAUCAGGAGAAGCGCCAGCGAGCGGAGGAAGAUACGGUGGCCCAUUCGGUGGAAGAUCGUCGGAUCAAGAAAAGCCGGCAAGCAAGAAAAUGGCUAGCCGGCCGGCUGGCUGGCGAGGAGGAGAGGAGAAGAUGAACAAGCAAGGGACGAUGAAUGCUGGCCAGCUCACAGAGAGAGAGAGAGGGAGGGAGAGAGAGAGAAGGGGGGGGGGGGGGGGGGGGGGGUGAGUGCUGCAACUGCAGGGCAAUAUAUGCGCGAGCCGCCGGGCAAAAGCUAUCCGCGUCUGCUGACUGACAUGAUCCGCAUAUAAAGUGAAGCGAUUGAGUGAAUGGAUCCUCUCGUGAAAGAAGAUGAGGGCCUGUUUGGCACCCGUCGCGUUGAAUGGUUGGAUAUAAUUAAAGUAUUAAAUAUAGACUAAUUACAAAAUUAAUUGUAAAAUUAAUUACAAAACUAAUUGUAAGGAGUCUAAUUUGCGAGACGAAUCUACUAAGCCUAAUUAGUCUAUAAUUUGACAAUGUGGUGCUACAGUAACUAUUUACUAAUGAUGGAUUAAUUAGCCUUACUAGAUUCAUCUCCCGAAUUAGACUCCAUCUGUGCAAUUAGUUUUAUAAUAAGCUCAUGUUUACUCCUUCUAUUUGGCAUCCGAAUAUUUGAUGUGACCCUGCUAAAGUUUAGCACCUCGUAUCCAAACACCCCAUGAAACGGACAGCUGCAGGUUAACUCGUUGCUCAGGGUUUCUCCAGCGCAUGGAUGCACCCCUGGUCCUAAGGUGGGACCCACCAUGAAUUUGACCGGGUCGCAAUGCAAAGAACCAACAGAUGCGUCCAUACGUGGGAUCCGUCUGACUAAAAAAUUCCCCAGCUCGUUGCUUUCCACGGGUUCUCGUCCACUCCAUCCCUAUCCCGCACACCGCCUCCGUCCUCAUCCGCUCGAGGAUCUCGAUCCGCGCCGCUGGCCGUGGCCGUCCGAGCCGCCGCCGCCCGCGCCAAGCAUCCGACUCCAGCUUACACCUCUACUCCAUCGUCUGAGGCCACGGCAACCCCGAACGCGGCAGGCGAAUCUUCCGGCUGGGCUUAGGAGGGCAACGGCGGUGCUCGAGUUCUAGCCCAGUGAGGGGCCACGCCACCCCAGGUGCUCUGCCACUUCGAGGCUUGGUCGCCCACACGAAGAACACUUGACCCCUUUUGAUUAUGUUGCCUGCCUGCUGAAACUUUGCCCCAUGGCUUUUCAGUUGUCCUUUUGACCUUGUUCUUCCUCCUAUGGGCUUGGUUGAAUUGAAUUCUUCUGCUACACUCCUCCAAUAAUACUCCCCAGUCUUGUCAUUUCCAUUAACUGGAUCAACAAAAUGCUUUAGCCAUGCACUUGCUAGCCGCAGGUUCUCCUCCUCUGUGUAAUUGAUUAUCACACCCCUCCUUCCUUUAUCUGGGCUGCUGCCAUUUGAAUCUUUGACUUCUUUUGCUUGCUCUACUUCCCUUCUAUGCGAUUGUGGUGUUGCUGAAUCGGAUCCAUGUGAAGAUGCACCAGUUGGAGACCCAAAUAUUCCACCAGAGUGCACAAAUUGUGGUUGUUGUUGAAAACCUAGAUAAUUUGGUGGAUAUUGGGCAUACUGUUGGAAGUUGCUUGGAGCGCCAAAGGGAUUGAAAUUCUGCAAUCCAUGAGUAGGUGGGCUACUUUGGGGAUACUGUGCAUGGUUGAAAGAUGUGGGAGGAAACUAAGACUGGUUGAAAGAGUUGGGAAUAUGGUUUGGUGUGAAUUUUGGGAUGUGCUAGAAACUUGUACUUUGUGGCCUCCAAGCAAUCUUGAGAAACUUCUAUUUGGUGGAUCCAUCUGAGCCAAUCAAUGUGGUUUGUGUGCUAGUAUUGUGUUGUUUUGAGCUUGAACCUAUCCUCUUCCUAUUCAGUUGUUGGUGUUGCUUUGAGCAUGAACCUUUCAUGUCCUUUUAUGCAAGCUGUAAGGCAACAGCUAGAAGAAGGUUGCAGGAAGAGGAACACAGAUAAAUGAAGAGAAAAAGGCUACAGGAAAGAGGAACACAAAUAGAUGAAAGGUUAUAGGAAGAGCAAUGGGUAGAAGAAAUAGGGAGGCAAUGGUCAAGUGUAGCCGUGCUGACCACAAGUCAAUGGUCAAAACGUGAAUCUGGUGGUGCGGUUGGUAGUUGGAGGUUCUAUACUUGUUGUCAUGCUUGUGUGAGACUUUUGAAUUGUUUAUUUGCUGGUAUCUGGUUCCAUACAUUGAUCCUAUGCAUGGAACUGGCCACACAAUGUCUAGGACCUGGGUCCAUAGCCACACAACACAAUUGGGGGUGUUUGGAUCUUUAGUUCCGACUAAAAUUUAUAUCACAUCGAAUAUUUGGAGGCUAAUUAGGAUGACUAAAUAUGAGCUAAUUAUAAAACUAAUUAUACAUAUGGAGGCUAAUUCUCAAGAUGAAUCUAUUAAGACUAAUUAAUACAUCAUUAGCACGUGUUUACUGUAGCACAACAUUAUCAAAUCAUGGACUAAUUAGGCUUAAUAGAUUCAUCUCACAAAUUAGCCUCUAUCUGUGUAAUUAGUCUAUAUUUAAUACUUCUAGUUAGUAUCUAAACAUUCGAUGUGACAGAAAUUUUAGGAGAUCCUGAAGAAACAAACGGGGCCUAUGUCUAGGACCUGAAUUUAUAGGAGCAUUAAUUGUAUAGGAUCAGAUUUUUCUACACAUUGGAGAGGCCCUCGUAUUUUACCCUUUGCCACUUCACUGCAGGUCUGCAGCCUGCUCAGUCCUACUGUACUAGCUGCCCAUCGGUCUCACAAGCCACACAUUUUGUCUUGCACCAGUGAAGUGCCUGGCUCAACACUCUCCAUGUUUCGACCGCGUUUGGAUGAGCGCACAUUUUCAGAAUCCAAAAUCUAAUAUGUCUCCAAGCGGGAUAGAUUCUGGCUCAGAUUUCAUAAGCUAAAUUUUGGAUUUUGCCUAAUUCUGCACGUGCAUUUUACCAUUUACCCAUCGGUAAUUACCCAAUCUACCACUCUCCACUCAGAGUGGGCAGCAAGGGCAUAAAAGGAAUCUAACCAACAGUUAGAAACCGAUUAACCCGGAUAGAAAACUGUUCCAUUUGUCACGUCACUUAGAUUAGAAAUAAUGUUGGGUUUUACAGACAUCGACCAACACUUGGAUGUUUGAUUGUUUGUUCAAAUAACGUAACGUUGCAGGCCAGGUUAGUACAUAUGGAUGGCUGGGUGUGGAUGACGAUACAUAUAGAGUGUACAUAGUUAGACGAAGAAAUUAGAAGGGCCUUGCGCCGUCGUAGUUGCCCGGCGGCCAGUAGCUGCACAUGAUCAUGGUGUCGCCGUUGUUGCACUUGACGCGGCCGCAGCCGACGGUGGUGGUGCCCUUCCAGACGACGGCGGUGUAGUGGCCGCACAUCUUGCCGGCGUCGCAGGAGUUGGAUCCGUAGUGGUAGCUCCUCUUCUCGUCGCUCCACUGGUCGACGGUGGUCUUCCAGGUGAUGCCGCCCGUGCCGAGCAUGAGGUUCUCGCCGUAGGGCGACGUCGAGUGCACCAUCUUGCACGGGCCCUUGAGCGUCUUCUCCGCGUACUGCUGCGAGAACUUGGCCAGCGUCGCGUUCCACGACAGCGGCGGCACGUGCUCCUUGGCCCGGAACGCGUUGUGCUCCUUGAGGAUGUCGUCGAUCGCCUUCUGGCUCAGGCCGUACUCCGGCUCGCCGGCGGGAUCCAGGCCGUAUCCAGCACCAGCAGGCGUCGUCGUAGACGACGGUGUGCUGCUGCUGCCACCUGAUGAAGCCGGCGUCGUAGACGACGACGACGACGGUGUGCCGCUGCCGUACCCUUUGUUUUUGGUUGAACUUGAAGCGCCGACACCGGAAGCCUUGUCGCCUCCGGUCGACGGGGUAGAUGAUGAUGACGACGACUUCGAUGGCGUCAUCGCCGGUGUUGUAGACGACGGCGUGCCGCUGCUGGAAGCCUUGCCGCCGGUCGACGGGGUAGAUGACGACGACGACUUGGACGGCGUCGCCGGUGUCGGCGACUCGUCCUCGGGGCCGUACGAGUAGGACCAAGCAACAACCGCUGGAGGUGUCGACGACGAUUUCGACGGCGCCGCCGGUGUCGGCGACUCGUCGGGGCCGUGCGAGUACGACCAAGCCUUCUCUGGAGCUUUAUAGUUAUUAUUAACCGGCCUGGCCUCCGGGGUCAGUCGCGGCAGCUGCGCCAAGACCUCCGGCUCCUCAUGGUGGCCGCCGGCCUCUUCCCCAUAGCCGCCGCCGCCGCCGCCGCCGCCGAAGGACUUGCUCGCCGCGGCGAGCUGGCCGGCGGAGAAGAGGAGCAGGCAGAGCACGGCGGCGUUGGAGAUCAUCGUGGCCUGCAUAUGGUCAAGCACUCGUCGGUCGGCCCACGCAUGUGUUCUUGUAGCGACCGGUCGCUGCUAUUCCCGGGGGAGCCAGACCAUGCAUGCAUGCAAAUGGACACGCACUGCAUGCUAUUUUCUUCUCGUUUGACGCGACGGCGAGCCGUCAACCGCGCCCCGCCGCGCAGGAACAAACAAUCCUUGCCAGGCGUCACAAGGAAUGGGCCGGGCGACUAAGCCCAUACAUUCUCAGCCCACGUAAGAAACAUACUCCCUCCGUUCCGUUCCAAAUCAUAGGUUGUUUUAGCAUUUUUAGAUUCAUAACUUUUGCUAUGUAUCUAGUAUCUAGACAUAAUAUAUAUCUAGAUUCAUAACAUCUUAAGUUUUGAAUGGUUACUCUUUUAAAUGUAAGCCGGUUAGCAUUGUAUUGGAAGAAAUAUCCAACUUUAUCAAAACUACAUCAUCUGCUUCAAAGCUGGAAGAAAUUUAUAGUUGGGAUGGUUUUUGCACGCGCUCGGCAUGCAUGGAGCUUCUGAGUGCUGCCCUUACUAGCUUUCCUUUGGAAAGAUGACGUAAGAUGCAUGAAAUAUAGGGGGUAGAGGAAAAGAAAAGAAAAUGGGAGACGAGAAGCUUACCUACCACCGGGCACCUAAACAAAUCACCUUAUAAAUUAAAUUUGUCUUCUCAACUAGCUUGUCACAUUCUUACACCGAAAAAGACUUCACACCGAAAAAGACUGCAGCAACCAGCGACCGGGACUAAUAAUAAGACUUUAUAAGCAGCAACCAUGAUCAAUAAUGUCCUCCACUAACAGAAUUGACGUCAUUAAUCAUAUGCAAGAGGUUGUCCACAUUCUUCCUGAGAGAUCCACGCACUCGACUCAAAGAAGUUUCAGUUUUGAUGGGCCAUUGGGCUGACCAGGUUUUGAUGGGCCAACUGCCGCCCCACACCACGGAGGUGUGGUCCGUGUGGAGGCCCAGUUCAAUUGUUUUUACCUUGCUUUCCACUUAAAAUAUUCUUUUUCCAACGAUUUUAGACUUUCCGACACCAUUUUAGGGGCGAUGGAGUUGUUGGUACGGUGCAAGGCACCCACAUGGUUCCGUUUAACUUUAAAUCCUGGUACCCAUAUUUAGUUGGGAAGAUUCGACCUGAGCAUUUUGCGAGCCACGUCGGGCUAAGACCGAGUGCCGAAAAAAGCUCCGCUCAUGGCGAGUGAAACAUUGUGCUCAUGAAAUUACUGGCGGUUGGUUAGGUCGACCGCCAGCCCAGUGCUCACUGUGAUGGCGGUUGGUUACCUCGUCCGCUAGCAUAGUGAACCACUAUGCUGGCGGUUGGUUAGGUAGCCUGCUAGCAUAGUGGUGUCUGUGUUGGCGGGUGCAUCCAUUUGUGCUGGCUCCAAGUUAGUGGUGGGCGCUCCACCCGCUAGCGUAGUGGUGUUUUACCCGCCACUACAAAUCGAUUUUGGCGUAGUGUUAUCAGACUGAGUUUUUAGGUUGGGCUCGGGCUGACCUGAUUUUUUUCAGACUUUAGUUUUUCGACCACGCUUGGCCCGACAUCUAAACUGGGCGGGCCAAAACCUACCGGGCUCGGCCUGUGCUCGAAAUGCUUAUGGGAAGAUACAAUAAUUUACCGGAUUGUCUCCACUAAUAAAAGUUGUAUACUCCUAUACGUCCAGCGUGGCUUGCCCGUGGCCACGGGGGAGCGACGAGCUCAAGGAGAGAGGCGCAGACCAGAGAGGAGAGAGAUGUGAAUGAGUGGAAUAGGAGAGGAGAGAGAUGAAUGAGUGGUAGAGGAGAGGAUAAGGUUGUGCCCGUUGGUGGAAAUGAAAUGUGUGGAGGAGAAUGUUUGAUCAGAUGCUUAGCGGAGCGUCUGGCACCCGUAGCUUAGCAUUACUAAAAUAUAUAUAUAUAUUCCACUUGUCGAUCGGUGUCUCCAUGUCAUCUUGUCAGUUGGCUCUGAACGUCUAGAAAGAAUGCCAAUUGGUGAGCUGCUACAUGAGCGGAAAGCAAGUCGACAUGGAUGGAAGUUGGAAGACUUGGAAUCGGGAGGAAGAAGAUUGUGAGAAGAUGGUGGGGAGGGAAGAGCAGGAGGGAAGAUAGGCAAGAAGCACAAGUGCUGCUGCUGAUCCAGAACCAAAAGCAAUUGGAAAAGGAAUAAAGAAAAGGAAUUGGAAAAGGAAUAAAGAAAAGGAAGAUGAGUGGAAGUAGCAGAGAAUAAAGAAAAGAAGAACCUUCAGCGCCUCCACGUAGCAGAGAAUAAAAAAAAGGAAGAUGAGUGGAAGUAGCAGAGAAUAAAGGAAGAUGAUCGGGAGGAGGAAGAAGAUUGUGAGAGAAAAAGCGCCACCCGCGCCACCCAGCUACCAGAACGAUAUGUGCAUUUGAGCACCACCCCUUCAGCGCCUCCACGACCUCGCCGCCGGGCGCAAGGACGGCGGCGACGGGGCCUUCCACCUCGACGGGGCCUCUUCCUCCGGCGGCGCUCCUCAUUUCUCAGCGUGUGUUCUCGUGAGCUCUGACUGCUCCAAUGUCCGAGCUUGUAGCUAGCAUGGUGGUCGGGCCACUGCUGUCCCUGGUGAAGGAGAAGGCGUCCAGCUACCUCCUGGACCAGUACAAGGUGAUGGAGGGCAUGGAGGAGCAGCAUGGGAAGCUCAAGGUCAUGCUGCCGGCCAUCCUGGAAAGGAUCACUGCCGCAGAGAAGCAGGCAACCUCCAGAGAAGCAAUCAGACCCUGGCUUCAGAACCUUAAGGUGGCGGCAUACGAGGCCAUCCAAGUCUUCGAUGAAUUCAACUAUGAGGCCCUCCGUCGUCAAGCCAAGAAAGAGGGGCGCUACAUCGAGCUCGGGAUGGGCAACCGCAUCAUGUUCCGUUACAGGAUGGGCAACAAGCUUUGCAAGAUUGUGCGCAAUAUUGAGGCCCUUGUCAACCAGAUGCGCGACUUUCGGUUCGACAAACAGCCACAAGCGCAGGUUCAGAUAAAUUAUCUGCGUGAGAAUGACUCCACCAUGGUUGACCCAGAGAUUGUCAGCAGAUCCAGAGAUGAAGAGAAGCAAAAGAUUGUUAGAAUGUUGGUCGAAGAACAAGCUAACAAUAAGGAUCCGAUGGUCGUUCCCAUUGUGGGGAUGGGUGGGUUGGGCAAGACUACCCUAACUCAGCUCAUCUAUAAUGACCUAGAAGUGAAGAAGCAUUUCCACCUACUGAAGUGGGUCUGCGUGUCAGAUGAUUUCGAUAUUUGUAACCUUGCCAACAAGAUCUGCAACGCUUCUGAGAGCAACCUGGAGAGUGCCUUGCAGAACCUUCAGAGAGAACUCGCUGGAAAGAGGUACUUUUUAGAAUUUAUUAAAUUGAUGUUGAUUCACUCAUCUCAAACACGCACACGGGUUUUUUUCCUCACACACGCUCAAAAUACCAUUUAGGCUUCCUCUGGUGGCAUUCACAUAACUUAAGAAAAAGACGUACUCAAAUAGAAACACACUAAUGGCAUGAUUAUUUGUAAUAGGUACCUUCUUGUAUUGGAUGACGUCUGGAAUAAGGAUGAGAACAAGUGGAACAAGCUGAAUGCCUGUCUUAAACAUGGUGAUGUUGGUAGCGCCGUACUAACGACAACCCGUGAUAAAAAAAUAGCUCAACUCAUGGGUACAGUUAAAGGACAUGACAUUGCACGUUUGGACAAUAAAUUCAUCAAGGAAAUUAUUGAGACUAAAGCAUUCAUUUCGCAAGAGAGAAAACCAGCUGAUUUAGCUGGCUUGGUUGAUGACGUUGUUGAGAGAUGUGCAGGGUCUCCAUUGGCAGCGAAGGCACUAGGAUCUGUACUACGCGGCAAGACAACGGAAGAAUGGGAGGCUGUGCUUAGCAAAAGCAUCGCCCAUAACAAGGACGAUCAAAUCCUGCCUAUUCUCAAGCUCAGUUACGAUGACCUGCCAUCACACAUGAAGCAGUGCUUCGCUUUCUGUGCUGUGUUUCCCAAGGACCAUGAGAUUGACGUGGAAAGGCUGAUCCAACUAUGGAUGGCAAAUGACUUUAUUCCCGAACAAAAA